CAUCAUUAUCAUCAUUGUCAUCGUCAAAGUCUUCUUGUCCGGA
rnacentral:antisense_RNA from 1 species